UCCACAUGUCCGGAGCUGAGACGAGGGGAAAAGGGGCCAUUAGGCAGGAGGCCAGUCAAACACUCCUACGAGCGGAGGAGGAGGAAGGAGGGCGGAAUUCGUGACAAACAGUAUGAGGAACCGCCAAGUCGCCAUAAACGAGUCGGACAUGUCGCAGCUGAUCAUAGAAGCACAGCAGAAGAGCGGUGUCUUCCAUGCAGGGGGUCUUUAAAAGUGAUGCCCUGGGAGAUGACUGGCUGAGGAGGAGUGCGGACCUGCCGUUGAUUGGAUCAGCCAGUGAGGAGUGAUUGGACGUGGCGGGGCUGAAGGGGCCUCAUGACCACCUCCUGGUUCCUCAAACAUUUCAGACAAACUCUAGUCAAUGCAAUCUGGCCCCAGUCAGCUUCCAGGACAUUCAUUUAGAAUAGGAGCAGUAAUUACUGGAGCCACUCAAGGAGUUUCAACAGCUUCUCUUCAACAACUUGGCCACUGGUCAUCUUCAGCUUUCUCAUCCUAUGUUUGUCCAGACUUCCACUCUGUGUUAACUGCUCAACAAUCUCUCAGUUCUUAGGUCUGCAACCUCCAACAUUCGUCAGCCACAGUCAAUCAUUUCUCUCUUCCACGACAUCACUUCAUUCUUCCCCUCACCAUAUACAGUCAUGUCAUCAUUCUCUCUCUUUAUCAUUCUCAUGCUUCUGCAAUCUAUCCAUCCCAUACUUCCGCCGCAUAAUGCAUUCUUCAUCUCGAUGCCUUUGCGGCUCGAG